UAUCCUACGGGACGCAGCAGUGGGGAAUAUUGCACAAUGGGGGAAACCCUGAUGCAGCAACGCCGCGUGAGUGAAGAAGUAUUUCGGUAUGGAAAGCUCUAUCAGCAGGGAAGAAGAUGACGGUACCUGAGUAAGAAGCCCCGGCUAACUACGUGCCAGCAGCCGCGGUAAUACGUAGGGGGCAAGCGUUAUCCGGAUUUACUGGGUGUAAAGGGAGCGUAGACGGCUGUGCAAGUCUGAAGGGAAAUGCAGGGGCCCAACCCCGGAACUGCUUUGGAAACUGUACAGCUAGAGUGCAGGAGGGG
rnacentral:rRNA from 1 species